UCGACCUGAGUUCAGGCAAA
rnacentral:rRNA from 1 species